rnacentral:lncRNA from 1 species
AUUGAUGUUGAAUUCUGCUUGAUUCAUGCUAAAAACACCUAGUUCGUGAUUUGAAGAAAUCAAACCAAGGAUGAAGAUAAAGUGGGCAUGCGUGUGUUUUUUCAAAUAAAGUAGUCGUUGACGCCCUAAUGCAAACAUGUUUUAUUUUAUUUUUAUUUAUAUUUUCAUUUUACUUUCUUUUUAUUGUUUGGUUUUAUUUUGAUUGAUUUUUAAUUCAUUUCGAUCCAAAUUUUCAAUAGAAAUU